GAUGAACGCUGGCGGCGUGCCUAAUACAUGCAAGUCGAGCGAACGGACGAGAAGCUUGCUUCUCUGAUGUUAGCGGCGGACGGGUGAGUAACACGUGGAUAACCUACCUAUAAGACUGGGAUAACUUCGGGAAACCGGAGCUACUACCGGAUGAUAUUUUGAACCGCAUGGUUCAAAAGUGAAAGACGGUCUUGCUGUCACUUAUAGAUGGAUCCGCGCUGCAUUAGCUAGUUGGUAAGGUAACGGCUUACCAAGGCAACGAUGCAUAGCCGACCUGAGAGGGUGAUCGGCCACACUGGAACUGAGACACGGUCCAGACUCCUACGGGAGGCAGCAGUAGGGAAUCUUCGGCAAUGGGCGAAAGCCUGACGGAGCAACGCCGCGUGAGUGAUGAAGGUCUUCGGAUCGUAAAACUCUGUUAUUAGGGAAGAACAUAUGUGUAAGUAACUGUGCACAUCUUGACGGUACCUAAUCAGAAAGCCACGGCUAACUACGUG
rnacentral:rRNA from 1 species